rnacentral:rRNA from 1 species
ACGGAGGCAGCAGUGGGGAAUAUUGGACAAUGGGGGAAACCCUGAUCCAGCGACGCCGCGUGAGUGAAGAAGUAUUUCGGUAUGUAAAGCUCUAUCAGCAAGGAAGAAAAUGACGGUACCUGACUAAGAAGCUCCGGCUAAAUACGUGCCAGCAGCCGCGGUAAUACGUAUGGAGCAAGCGUUAUCCGGAUUUACUGGGUGUAAAGGGAGCGUAGACGGUAAGGCAAGUCUGAAGUGAAAUGCCAGGGCUCAACCCUGGAACUGCUUUGGAAACUGUCCUACUAGAGUGCAGGAGAGGUAAGUGGAAUUCCUAGUGUAGCGGUGAAAUGCGUAGAUAUUAGGAGGAACACCAGUGGCGAAGGCGGCUUACUGGACUGUAACUGACGUUGAGGCUCGAAAGCGUGGGGAGCAAACAGGAUUAGAUACCCUGGUA